UCAGAUUGAACGCUGGCGGCAGGCCUAACACAUGCAAGUCGAGCGGUAACAUUUCUAAGCUUGCUUAGAAGAUGACGAGCGGCGGACGGGUGAGUAAUGCUUGGGGAUCUGCCUGAUGGCGGGGGACAACCACUGGAAACGGUGGCUAAUACCGCAUAAUACCUAUGGGUCAAAGUGUGGGACCUUCGGGCCACACGCCAUCAGAUGAACCCAAGUGAGAUUAGCUGGUUGGUAAGGUAACGGCUUACCAAGGCGACGAUCUCUAGCUGGUCUGAGAGGAUGAUCAGCCACACUGGGACUGAGACACGGCCCAGACUCCUACGGGAGGCAGCAGUGGGGAAUAUUGGACAAUGGGGGCAACCCUGAUCCAGCCAUGCCGCGUGUGUGAAGAAGGCCUUCGGGUUGUAAAGCACUUUCAGUGGUGAGGAAGGUGGUGUCGUUAAUAGCGGCAUCAAUUGACGUUAGCCACAGAAGAAGCACCGGCUAACUCCGUGCCAGCAGCCGCGGUAAUACGGAGGGUGCGAGCGUUAAUCGGAAUUACUGGGCGUAAAGCGCACGUAGGCGGUAUGUUAAGCAAGAUGUGAAAGCCCAGAGCUCAACUCUGGAAUAGCAUUUUGAACUGGCAUGCUAGAGUUUUGGAGAGGGUGGUAGAAUUUCCAGUGUAGCGGUGAAAUGCGUAG
rnacentral:rRNA from 1 species